rnacentral:lncRNA from 1 species
UUUGGACAAACUUAUUUUUAAUGUAUUAUAAUUGGUUAAACAUAAUAUUUUGGACCCUUGUUGUAAUUAAGAAACAGAUAUAAAUAUGAACCUUUUUUAUCAGUUAAUUCUAAGAUGGAUCCAUGGCAUAUGCCAUGUUUGCCAUCCCCUAGAGCCAGCACUGCUUGAGUCAUGCUCAUAACGUACUCGUGAUGCGUUGGACAGGCAGCCAAAACCUCACUAUGACUUCAAAUACAAAUGCAGCUUCCGUUAUUUCCUCAAGUAACCGUUAGCUUUUUUUUUUUUUUUUUUUGCUAAAGUAUAAAUGUUCUUUUUUGGCAUUUCUAAUUAUUUUGUUGUUAUAUUCUUGAUCGAUGUUCACCUUUAUAAGAUAAUUUUUUGUUGAUCAAUUCAUUUUUUUAUAAAAAUUUGAAAUAAGGUAUGUAAUACUUUUAGCAUUCCUUAGAAUAUUCUAAUAAUCAAAUUUGUUAAGCUAUUAAAAUAAUCAAAUUUAUCAAGCUAUUAAAAUAUAACUUUUUAAAUAUGUACAUAUUUUAAAAGAUUUUACUGGAUCCUAGAUUAUAAUAUCAUAUAGCAUUAAACGAAGAACUCGAUCUCUG